rnacentral:rRNA from 1 species
GUAGGGGGCAAGCGUUGUCCGGAUUUAUUGGGCGUAAAGAGCGUGUAGGCGGCCAGACAGGUCAGCUGUGAAAACUCGAGGCUCAACCUCGAGACGUCGGUUGAAACCGUCUGGCUAGAGUCCGGAAGAGGAGAGUGGAAUUCCCGGUGUAGCGGUGAAAUGCGCAGAUAUCGGGAAGAACACCCGUGGCGAAGGCGGCUCUCUGGGACGGUACUGACGCUGAGACGCGAAAGCGUGGGGAGCGAACAGGAUUAGAUACCCUGGUAGUCCACGCCGUAAACGAUGGGCACUAGGUGUGGCGGGUGUCGACUCCCGCUGUGCCGAAGCUAACGCAUUAAGUGCCCCGCCUGGGGAGUACGGCCGCAAGGCUA